rnacentral:rRNA from 1 species
AAAAGUAGAGGUGAAAUGCCUACCGAAUCUGGAGAUAGCUGGCUACCCAAAAAAGAAUUUAAGUUCACCUUUAGACCAACACACCACAACCUAGUACAUCUAAAGACAUUCAAUAGGGGUACAGCUCUAUUGAAACAGGAUACAACCUGACCUUGAGAAUAAAACAACCUUAAACCUACAAGUAGGCCUUAAAGCAGCCACCUAAAAAAAUAUCGUUAAAGAAUUACAGACAAAAAUCCCAAAAAAAAUUAAAUAUUCCAAACACAUUAAGGGUAAAUCUAUAACCAUAGAUAAACUUAUGCUAAAACUAAUAAUAAGAAAAAUUCUCUAAGCGCAACUGUAUGCAAGAAACAGAAAAUCUGCUUGCAAUCAACAGACCAAAAAAGGAACGGCACAACACCCUACACAACUCCCACAUAAACUGUAACCCCAACACAGGAGCGCAACAAAGAAAGAUAAAACAUUACAAAAGGAACUCGGCAACCAAUGACUCCAACUGUUUACCAAAAACAUAACCUUUAGCCAAACUAGUAUUAAAGGCAACGCCUGCCCAGUGAGAAUUUCUUCAACGGCCGCGGUACCCUAACCGUGCAAAGGUAGCGUAAUCACUUGUCUAUUAAUUGUAGACCCGUAUGAAAGGCCACAUGAGAGUCAAACUGUCUCUUGUAAUCAAUCAAUUAAACUGAUCUCCCAGUACAAAAGCUGAGAUAUACAUAUAAGACCAGAAGACCCUGUGAAGCUUAAACUAAACUAUUAAACCCACUAAUAGCUACUUUCAGUUGGGGCGACUUUGGAACAAAACAGAACUUCCAAACAACAUGAGCCAUCCCUCAUACUACAGGCCAACAAGCCACCACAAGACCCAGUAACACUGAUAAUUGAACCAAGUUACUCCAGGGAUAACAGCGCCAUCUUCUUUAAGAGCCCAUAUCAAAAAGAAGGUUUACGACCUCGAUGUUGGAUCAGGACACCCAAAUGGUGCAGCCGCUAUUAAAGGUUCGUUUGUUCAACGAUUAACAGUCCUACGUGAUCU